CUUUGAACUCUGAAGUGGUGUUUCCAGAUCAAGGAGAAGGAGAAGGCCGUAGCAGAGGAGGUUCAUAACUGGGAGCAGCAAAACAAUGGCCUUAACCUGCUACAACAGCCGCUUCCAUGUUUAAAUAUGAGAUGGAUUCUGUAGAUAAUACAUAUUAUGCCAACAUCCUCAACGGUCAGGUAGACCUUAAUGAUCCAUUUUCAACAUUUGGUUGCACGCCUACAAACCAAAAUGAAGGUGACAAUGACAUGCCUCAAGUGAUUGUUCCAAUUAUACCAACCACCAAGAAACCACAAAGAGCUAAGAAUUUUGUUGUUGAAGAAGAUAUGCUUCUUGUGUCUGCAUGGCUCAAUGUUAGCUUAGAUCCAGUGCAUGGCAACGAACAAAGGAGUUCUACUUAUUGGAAUAGAAUUCGGGAGUAUUGGAUGGCAGAGAAAAAGUUUACUUCUGAACGCAAUUCCAAUUCUCUUCUACACCGUUGGUCAGGAAUUCAACUCUCAGUGAAUAAAUUCUGUGGAUACAUGGCCAAGAUUGAAGGGAGGUCUCAAAGUGGUGUCAAUGAAAAAGACAGGGU